UACAGAGGUCCCAAGCGUUGUUCGGAUUCACUGGGCGUAAAGGGUGCGUAGGCGGUCGGGUAAGUCUGGCGUGAAAUCUCCAAGCCUAACUUGGAAACUGCGUUGGAUACUAUCCGGCUCGAGGAAUGGAGGGGAGACUGGAAUACUUGGUGUAGCAGUGAAAUGCGUAGAUAUCAAGUGGAACACCAGUGGCGAAGGCGAGUCUCUGGACCACAACUGACGCUGAGGCACGAAAGCUAGGGGAGCAAACAGG
rnacentral:rRNA from 1 species